rnacentral:misc_RNA from 1 species
UGCACUGCUAUGAGCAUUGAUAUUUAAAGGCAAAGUGAAGCUAGCAGGAGAAGAUUUUGGGCAUCAUCCUUGCUGUUAAUAUCCUUUUCUGCUGGGCUGCGAAGUAAGAUCUGUUGCCUAAAUGAUCUGCUUGAAUAAUAUCAAAGUCUGGAAAACUUGAAUAACAGCUCUUUCAUGGUCUGAGUGGGGCUCAUCAUAAACUAGGCCAUGUUUAUAAUGGGGCAGCCACAAAAGGUGAAGUUGGAAUGAACUUACGGAGCUCUUAUGUUUUGCUUGAAGGUGUGGUAGAAAGUCAGGAUACAUUACUUCCUUUGGGGAUGGCAAAUAGCUUCAAUUGAAUGAGUAGAUUUGUUCAAGUGUUUAGUUAUGUGCACAACUUUCCUGGAUCUUUGAGAUAAAAAGUUUGUUUGUCGAAAAGGAUAAUUCAAAGUGUUCUGUGGAAAGUAUGUUUAUAUAUGGACUUUUAUGUUUAGGAAUUUAUCAGUCCUCCAUUUGCCUGCUGUCUGAAUGAUCCUUUUUAUUUUUUUUAGUGUAACUGUCAAUAUGAUGUAGAUUGAUUAAUCAACUAUCAUUUAACAUUGCCUUACUUUAACAGGCAUGAAUGUACUAACACUUUGGUUCUCAAAAUUUUAUUUGCU